rnacentral:rRNA from 1 species
CAGUGAUAAACUGGAGGAAGGUGGGGAUGACGUCAAGUCAUCAUGGCCCUUACGACCAGGGCUACACACGUGCUACAAUGGCGCAUACAAAGAGAAGCGACCUCGCGAGAGCAAGCGGACCUCAUAAAGUGCGUCGUAGUCCGGAUUGGAGUCUGCAACUCGACUCCAUGAAGUCGGAAUCGCUAGUAAUCGUGGAUCAGAAUGCCACGGUGAAUACGUUCCCGGGCCUUGUACACACCGCCCGUCACACCAUGGGAGUGGGUUGCAAAAGAAGUAGGUAGCUUAACCUUCGGGAGGGCGCUUACCACUUUGUGAUUCAU